rnacentral:rRNA from 1 species
GUCCAGUCCUUAACGGGUUCCUGGAUUGAGGUGUCUGGGGAAGGACCCAAUAUUAAACUUUCCAAUCAAUUAGUUGUCUGAGAAGGCCUUGUGCCGCAAUCUUUAAAACAUGUUAAAACUUUCAACAACGGAUCUCUUGGCUCUCGCAUCGAUGAAGAACGCAGCGAAAUGCGAUAAGUAAUGUGAAUUGCAGAAUUCAGUGAAUCAUCGAAUCUUUGAACGCACAUUGCGCCCUUUGGUAUUCCUUAGGGCAUGCCUGUUCGAGCGUCACUAAAAACCAUCUCACAGAUUAUGUGGUAUUGGUAGAAGUGGGUUGUACUAACAGUAUGCUUUCCUACUCUACUGAAAUAAAUAGGCCAGAGAAGUGGAUCAUGGUAACAGACUCUAAGAGUGUUUUAAAAUGCUAAACUAGUCUCACCCAGGUCAUGUUCUGAGCCACUGGACCCCCAUUCAGUCCAAAGCAGAGAGGUUGACCUCGGAUCAGGUAGGGAUACCCGCUGAACUUAAGCAUAUCAAU